GCCUACGGCCAUACCACCCUGAAAGCGCCCGAUCUCGUCUGAUCUCGGAAGCUAAGCAGGGACGGGCUUGGUUAGUACUUGGAUGGGAGACCGCCUGGGAAUACCAGGUGUUGUAGGCU
rnacentral:rRNA from 1 species